rnacentral:rRNA from 1 species
UACAGAGGGGGCAAGCGUUGUUCGGAAUUACUGGGCGUAAAGGGCGCGUAGGCGCCCUGCUAAGUCGAACGUGAAAUCCCCGGGCUCAACCCGGGAACUGCGUCCGAUACUGGCAGGCUUGAAUCCGGGAGAGGGAUGUGGAAUUCCAGGUGUAGCGGUGAAAUGCGUAGAUAUCUGGAUGAACACCGGUGGCGAAGGCGGCAUCCUGGACCGGUAUUGACGCUGAGGCGCGAAAGCUAGGGGAGCAAACGGG